rnacentral:rRNA from 1 species
AGUGAACGCUGGCGGCAGGCCUAACACAUGCAAGUCGAGCGGCAGCGCGGGGGCAACCCUGGCGGCGAGCGGCGGACGGGUGAGGAAUGCAUCGGAAUCUACCUCGUUGUGGGGGAUAACCUCGGGAAACCGGGACUAAUACCGCAUACGACCUACGGGUGAAAGUGGGGGACCUUCGGGCCUCACGCGAUGAGAUGAGCCGAUGCCGGAUUAGCUAGUUGGCGGGGUAAAGGCCCACCAAGGCGACGAUCCGUAGCUGGUCUGAGAGGAUGAUCAGCCACACUGGAACUGAGACACGGUCCAGACUCCUACGGGAGGCAGCAGUGGGGAAUAUUGGACAAUGGGCGCAAGCCUGAUCCAGCCAUGCCGCGUGUGUGAAGAAGGCCUCGG